rnacentral:rRNA from 1 species
AGGUCCUGCCUGCCCAGUGACUAUGUUAAACGGCCGCGGUAUUUUGACCGUGCAAAGGUAGCGCAAUCACUUGUCUUUUAAAUGAAGACCUGUAUGAAUGGUGGAACGAGGGCCUAACUGUCUCCCUUUUCAGGUCAAUGAAAUUGAUCUAUCCGUGCAGAAGCGGGUAUAUAAAUACAAGACGAGAAGACCCUUUGGAGCUUAAGAUUAAAAAUCAACUAUGUCAAAUAUUCAUCAAAUAAAACUAAAUAGUAACUGAUCAUAAUCUUCGGUUGGGGCGACCACGGAAUAAAAACAAACUUCCAUAUGGACUGAGGACUAACCUUAAAACCAAGAAAAACAUUUCUAAGUCACAGAAUUUCUGACCACACAGAUCCGGCAAAUUGCCGAUCAAUGGACCAAGUUACCCUAGGGAUAACAGCGCAAUCCCCUUUUAGAGUUCCUAUCGACAAGGGGGUUUACGACCUCGAUGUUGGAUCAGGAC